GCUAACGCUUGAAUACAUUAGCAUGGAAUAAUGAAAUAGGACGUUCGAUCCUACUUUGUUGGUUUCUAGGAUUGACGUAAUGAUUAAUAGGGAUAGUUGGGGGCAUUAGUAUUCAAUUGUCAGAGGUGAAAUUCUUGGAUUUAUUGAAGACUAACUACUGCGAAAGCAUUUGCCAAGGAUGUUUUCAUUAAUCAAGAACGAAAGUUAGGGGAUCGAAGACGAUCAGAUACCGUCGUAGUCUUAACCAUAAACUAUGCCGACUAGGGAUCGGAUGAUGUUAAUUUUUUAAUGACUCAUUCGGCGCCUUACG
rnacentral:rRNA from 1 species